UGAAACCAGCAGAAGAUGUGAUGUAAAGCUCGAGCAUAAGCCGCCGCAGUGAUCUUGAAAAGGCCAUCCAAGCUUUUAUAACAUCUCAUUUGGACUAUUGCAGUUCUUUGUUGAUGCAUGUCUUCCAUAUGUGUAAAAAGGAUGAUGAAGGGUCUAAGGACAUAUUCCCAAUCCUCUUCUUCUGGAAAUUCAUGUAGCACAUCAAAUUUCUGAAGAGCCUCCAUGUCAUCUUUCUCCAUUGACAGUAAUGAAGGGAGUGAGGCUUGCCCCGUGAGCACUGGUUUAUUAUCAGCACACCACUUCUCUGCCUCGACCAAACAUGAGAAAUCCUUCCUGUCCCGGCCCAAGGAC